UGGCAAUGAAGUAGCAGACUGGUUUGGCAUUAGCUGCUUGCGGAGCCAGACCAUGAGGUAAACGGAAACCACAAGCCGAAUAGAUUCAACGAAUCGAAAGAAAACGCUUGAU
rnacentral:sRNA from 12 species